GUGCUCGCUUUGGCAGCACACAUACUAAAAUUGGAACACUUCAGAGAAGAAUAGCAUGGCCCCUGUGCAAGGAUGACAUGCAAAUUCCUGAAGAGUUCCAUACUUUU